AACGAACGCUGGCGGCAUGCCUAACACAUGCAAGUCGAACGAAGCCUUCGGGCUUAGUGGCGCACGGGUGCGUAACGCGUGGGAAUCUGCCCUUUGGUUCGGAAUAACAGUUGGAAACGACUGCUAACACCGGAUGAUGACGAAAGUCCAAAGAUUUAUCGCCAGAGGAUGAGCCCGCGUAGGAUUAGCUAGUUGGUGUGGUAAAGGCGCACCAAGGCGACGAUCCUUAGCUGGUCUGAGAGGAUGAUCAGCCACACUGGGACUGAGACACGGCCCAGACUCCUACGGGAGGCAGCAGUGGGGAAUAUUGGACAAUGGGCGAAAGCCUGAUCCAGCAAUGCCGCGUGAGUGAUGAAGGCCUUAGGGUUGUAAAGCUCUUUUACCCGGGAUGAUAAUGACAGUACCGGGAGAAUAAGCUCCGGCUAACUCCGUGCCAGCAGCCGCGGUAA
rnacentral:rRNA from 1 species